UAGAGUAUGAUAGAGAAAGUAGAGUUCUAGUGUAGAGUGAAAUUCGUAGAUAUUAGAAAGAAUACCAAUUGCGAAGGCAGCUUCUGGAUCAUUACUGACACUGAGGAACGAAAGCAUGGGUAGCGAAGAGGAUUAGAUACCCUCGUAGUCCAUGCCGUAAACGAUGUGUGUUAGACGUUGGAAAUUUAUUUUCAGUGUCGCAGGGAAACCGAUAAACACACCGCCUGGGGAGUACGACCGCAAGGUUAAAACUCAAAUGAAUUGACGGGGACCCGCACAAGUAGUGGAGCAUGUGGUUUAAUUCGAAGAUACGCGCAGAACCUUACCAACACUUGACAUGUUCGUCGCGACUCUAAGAGAUUAGAGUUUUCGGUUCGGCCGGACGAAACACAGGUGCUGCAUGGCUGUCGUCAGCUCGUGUCGUGAGAUGUUGGGUUAAGUCCCGCAACGAGCGCAACCCUCACUUUUAGUUGCCAUCAUUAAGUUGGGCACUCUGAAAGAACUGCCAGUGAUAAGCUGGAGGAAGGUGGGGAUGACGUCAAGUCCUCAUGGCCCUUACGUGUUGGGCUACACACGUGCUACAAUGGUAUCUACAACAGGAAGCAAAACUGCGAAGUUAAGCAAAUCCCUAAAAGAUACCUCAGUUCGGAUUGCACUCUGCAACUCGAGUGCAUGAAGCUGGAAUUACUAGUAAUCGUGGAUCAGCGUGCCACGGUGAAUGCGUUCCCGGGUCUUGUACACACCGCCCGUCACACCAUGGGAGUUGGUUCUACCUUAAGGCAAGGUUUUAAACCCUUGACCACGGUAUAGUCAGCGACUGGGGUGAAGUCGUAACAAGGUAACCGUA
rnacentral:rRNA from 1 species